rnacentral:tRNA from 1 species
AUUUAUUUAGAGCCAGCACAUAAACACCCAAAGUUUCUACUAGGUAUUUUUUAAGAGUGUGCAGCACACCUUCCAAGUCCAAACCUCAUUAAACAAGUGAUUUAAAAGGUGGUCAUUUAAAGUGUAAUAAUUUGCCAAAUGAAAGAUGUCAAAUAUAAUUGUUUUACAUGUGAAAGACCUUGCUUGCUUUACUCUUCAAAAAGUUGGCAGAUCUUAACAUUCAUUUUGUGUAUAGGCAGAUAAAGAAAAUGUGCAAAUCUGAUGGCCAUGUUUAUAGUGUUUUAAAAACAUAGCACCAUUUAAAACCUAUAACCAAAACCUAUAACCAACACUUAAACAUUUUUACACAAAUAGGAACUUUUUUUCUAAUAUUGUAGACAUUACAAAAGAAAAUCCCUAAUUUCGCUCAUUUACAGUAUGGCUCAGGACUGUCAUAAUUUAGGAAUGUUUGAUGCGGCUCUAAAAUCCCAAAUGUUCAUUUUAUAUCAUGGGCUUUCAACACAAUUUUCUCCCCCUCUGGGUAAAAACCUGACGAAAUCUCAAAUCAACAUCAAGUUUUUGUGGAUAUUUAAUUGAGUUGUCAACAAACUUGAAAUUAACCAACCCUUGAAAUCCUAUUGUUGAUUUGUGGUUGAAAUCUGGUUGAAAUUAGACAAACUGUGUACGUUGCCCACUUUCUGUGAAUUCAACCAAAAAAUCUUGUGAUGUUCAAUGUCAGUUUGAUGGAAAACUUAUUCAACAUAUUUUUACCUGGCAGACUGCGGGAUAGUCUCACAUUAAUAUACUUCCCAAGUCUCGUUCAUUACGUGAGGAAGCCUGGAAAUUAAGGUUACUUAACCAAUCUGUAUAUUUCAUAAUUCUGUCCAAAUGUUGUGUGACCAUUUAAUUUUACAGCAAACUACCCUAGGGCUGGAAUUACAACAAACCUGUGCUGCAAGAAAGUGAUGCCAUUACUGCAUCACGUGAAAGUAUAUUUUACAAAACAUUAAAUUUUUUUGUGCAGUGAAAGUCUCCCAGAGUCCUAGGUUUGAUUCUGCUCCAAGUUUCCAAGUAACAUCUUAGAUGAAUAGUCAUGCAGAGGUCUUAAAAAUGGUAUACUGUUGCAAACACCUAAAAUCAAGUGCUGGUAAUUGCAGCAAUUGAGGGGAACUGAUUUUGAAUUUGACUAGUCAACUUUGUAGGGGCUGAUAUAUUUUAAUAGAUAUUUAUAUAUGACUGUGUACCACAGACACAGCACCUAGAUGUUGACACACUGUCUUGCUCUGCUGUCACAGAGGUGGUGGAGGUAGCUAGGUAAGUGCAUGUAUGAGUCUGGUGCAUUGGAGCUAACAAAAGAGAGAUAAGCAACGAAAAUAUGUCACACUUCAGAGAAAAAUAAAAAAGAUUGUGAACAUCCUUACAGUCUACGCUCAUGAUUGUGUACAAGAGCCACUCGUCUAAUAAAAUAGCACCUGGAUAUGUGAAAUGCGGCAACUCCUAAAUUAAUUUAAAUAAUCUUCUUUGUGUGAAAAAAACAUUUUGUGUUUUUUUUCUUCCAAAGUGACCUUUCCCUUCAAAACGAUGACCAAAAAAAUCCUACAACUUGCUCUGGCUAGGAAGUGAACACCUUUAAGCAAAUAUGGUGCCAGUUGAUAUUCAGUACAAUCACUAAACUUACUGUGGCUAGUUGCCCGUGAAACUGAGACAGUCAGAAUAUGUUCUGUGACUUGUUAAAGCAUAGUGCACCCAAAUUACACAUUGGUUUCCUUACGCUGUCAGCAGUCUAUGGACAAGGUAUAACAGCAAUCCAUGCGUUGGUUUUGUUUACCUGGCCACUAUUCAAACAGAUCAAGCGCAAGCGUUAACCGACGAUAGCCGACACCCGCACAGCUGAUGUUUUGGCGGUGUCAGAAGUGGAACUGCGUUGGAGCUGUCAAAUUGUUGAGCAGCUGCUCUUGUCAUCACUAUAACAAAGCCACACCCGCCCCACUCACAUUAGAAGUUCAGAACGAGAAAGUGUAGGCAAUAUAGAAAUAAUGAAGCUCAAAUUGAAAAUAAUUUAUCAAAAUAAUAAGGAUUUCUAUCAGCCUAAUCGAGGUGUAAAUUACAAGAAACAUCAAUAGGCCUUCUAGGAAAGUACAUUGUUGGACCUAAAUGCAACAUUAAUAGGUUAAACAUCUUCACUUCAUAGCUGUACUAUUCUAGGACUUACCUCUAUUUUUUGUAACAUUCUAUGAAUUGGAAUUCUUAACAUACACAGUAUAUAUGAAAGUAUGUGGACACCCCUUCAAAUUAGUGGAUUCGGCUAUUUCAGCCACACCCGUUGCUAACAGGUGUAUAAAAUCGAAGAAGAGCUGAAGAGCUCACUGACUUUCAACGUGACAGCGUCAAUGGAUGCCACCUUUCCAACAAGUCAGUUCGUCAAAUUUCUGCCCUGCUAGAGCUGCCCCAGUCAACUGUAAGUGCUGUCAUUGUGAAGUGGAAAGAUUUAGGAGCAACAACGGCUCAGCCGCGAGGUGGUAGGCCACACAAGUUCACAGAAUGGGACCGCGAGUGCUGAAGCGAGUUCCAAACUACCUCUGGAAGCAAGGUCAGCACAACUGGUCCCGUGUGGCUCAGUUGGUAGAGCAUGGUGUUUGCAACACCAGGGUUGUGGGUUCAAUUCUCACGGGGGACCAGUACGGAACAUUUUUUAUUUACAUUUACACUUACAUUUUAGUCAUUUAG